rnacentral:rRNA from 1 species
GUCUAUGGCCAUGCCAUCCUGAACAAGCCUGGUGUCUGAUCUGAAAGCUAAGCAGGGUUGGGCCUGGUUAGUGCUUGGAUGGGAGACCACCUAGGAAGACCAGGUGCUUUUUUGU